rnacentral:rRNA from 1 species
GACGAACGCUGGCGGCGUGCCUAAUACAUGCAAGUCGAACGAGAGCGACCGGUGCUUGCACUGGUCAAUCUAGUGGCGAACGGGUGAGUAACACGUGGGUAACCUGCCCAUCAGAGGGGGAUAACAUCCGGAAACGGAUGCUAAAACCGCAUAGGUCUUCGAACCGCAUGGUUUGAAGAGGAAAAGAGGCGCAAGCUUCUGCUGAUGGAUGGACCCGCGGUGCAUUAGCUAGUUGGUGAGGUAACGGCUCACCAAGGCCGAGAUGCAUAGCCGACCUGAGAGGGUGAUCGGCCACAUUGGGACUGAGACACGGCCCAAACUCCUACGGGAGGCAGCAGUAGGGAAUCUUCCGCAAUGGACGCAAGUCUGACGGAGCAACGCCGCGUGAGUGAAGAAGGUUUUCGGAUCGUAAAACUCUGUUGUUAGAGAAGAACAAGUGCUAGAGUAACUGUUAGCGCCUUGACGGUAUCUAACCAGAAAGCCACGGCUAACUACGUG